rnacentral:rRNA from 1 species
GGGGGAUAAGGUAGGGAAAGUUAGGUUAAUACCGCUUACGAUCUACGGAUGAAAGCGGGGGACCGUAGGGCCUCGCGCGUUUGGAGCGGCCGAUGUCAAAUUAGGUAGUUGGUGAGGUAAAGGCUCACCAAGCCUGCGAUCUGUAGCUGGUCUGAGAGGACGACCAGCCACACUGGGAUUGAGACACGGCCCAAAUUCCUACGGGAGGCAGCAGUGGGGAAUUUUGUUUAUUGGGCGCAAGCCUGAUCCAGCCUUUCCGCGUGCAGGACGAAGGCCCUCGGGUUGUAAACUGUUUUUGUACGGAACGAAAAGCCUAGGGUUAAUACCUCUGGGUCAUGACGGUACCGUAAGA